UGGGGAAUCUUGGACAAUGGGGGCAACCCUGAUCCAGCCAUGCCGCGUGAGUGAUGAAGGCCUUAGGGUCGUAAAGCUCUUUCGCCAGAGAUGAUAAUGACAGUAUCUGGUAAAGAAACCCCGGCUAACUCCGUGCCAGCAGCCGCGGUAAUACGGAGGGGGUUAGCGUUGUUCGGAAUUACUGGGCGUAAAGCGCACGUAGGCGGAUUGGAAAGUAUGGGGUGAAAUCCCAGGGCUCAACCCUGGAACGGCCUUGUAAACUCCCAGUCUAGAGUUCGAGAGAGGUGAGUGGAAUUCCAAGUGUAGAGGUGAAAUUCGUAGAUAUUUGGAGGAACACCAGCGGCGAAGGCGGCUCACUGGCUCGAUACUGACGCUGAGGUGCGAAAGGGUGGGGAGCAAACAGGAUUAGAUACCCCUGUAGUCC
rnacentral:rRNA from 1 species